rnacentral:rRNA from 1 species
GACAGAGGGGGCAAGCGUUGCUCGGAAUUACUGGGCGUAAAGGGCGCGUAGGCGGCCUUCUAAGUCGAACGUGAAAUCCCCGGGCUCAACCCGGGAACUGCGUCCGAGACUGAAAGGCUUGAAUCCGGGAGAGGGAUGUGGAAUUCCAGGUGUAGCGGUGAAAUGCGUAGAUAUCUGGAGGAACACCGGUGGCGAAGGCGACAUCCUGGACCGGUAUUGACGCUGAGGCGCGAAAGCCAGGGGAGCAAACGGG